rnacentral:lncRNA from 1 species
AGUGAUUUGACAAUUCUAUACUUCACAAAAUUUUUACCAUGGCAUUUCUCUUUUCUACCAGUAGACCACUGUGAAGGGAUGAAAUACGAAAAUGGAGGAAGGAAGCUACCCUGCUGACUUGCUGAUACAUCUACUUCAGUCAUCAAAGCACUGAGAGACUCAAGACAUCUUGCACUUCCUGUGGUGACCUGGCCUCCCAAUAUAGGCAUGCAAAUAAAUACACAUGCAUGGACAACAAAUAUAAUCUCCAAAG